rnacentral:rRNA from 1 species
UUCCCUCUAGUCAUAGGCCGGCACACAGGUGCUGCAUGGCUGUCGUCAGCUCGUGUCGUGAGAUGUUGGGUUAAGUCCCGCAACGAGCGCAACCCUCGCCCUUAGUUGCCAGCAUUUAGUUGGGCACUCUAGUGGGACUGCCGGUGAUAAGCCGGAGGAAGGUGGGGAUGUCGUGUUGUCCUCCGGGCCCCUCCGUAUAGUGCCCAACUUAUGGGUGGUCUAUUAUGGGGAGGGGUUGGUCUCGUUGCGGUAUUUAACCCACCUUCUCCUGACACCACCUGAGGAAGGCCCUGCCCCACCUGGUUCCGUGCUUUUGAAAGGAGAAUCCUUUCUCUGAACCGGCCGGCUGGUAAAGAGGGGUAAGUUUUUUCCUUUCCUCCUGGCCCCCCCCCUCCGGAGGUCCGCCCGGCGGGGGGGGCAGAGAGAUA